GACAGAGGGUGCAAACGUUGUUCGGAAUUACUGGGCGUAAAGCGAGUGUAGGCGGUUCGAUAAGUCGGAUGUGAAGCCCGGGCUCAACCCGGGAAGUGCACUCGAUACUGUCGAGCUAGAGUAUCGGAGAGGUUGGUGGAAUUCUCGGUGUAGAGGUGAAAUUCGUAGAUAUCGAGAGGAACACCAGUGGCGAAGGCGGUUCUCUGGGCCUUACCUGACGCUGAGGAGCGAAAGCGUGGGGAGCAAACAGG
rnacentral:rRNA from 1 species